AACCAGCAAAAACCAGUGUCUGCAGCAGCUCUGGGAGAAGAGCUUUUCCUUUGUGUGGCCUUUAUUUGCUAAGCACUGACCUUGUAAAGGCUUAACAAUGGGUUUUGGACUGAUAGGAAUUUUUAUUCUGGCUAUUUUACAAGGUGUUCAUUGUGAUGAUGUUCAGUUGUUAGAGUCUGGGGGUGAUUUGAGACGCCCUGGAGAAUCUCUUCGCCUUUCUUGCAAAGUUUCUGGAUUCACCUUAAGCAGCUAUGGCAUGCACUGGAUCCGCCAGGCUCCAGGGAAGGGGCUGGAAUGGAUCUCAGUUAUUUGGUCUGGUGGUAGUACAGAGUAUGCAGACUCUGUGAAAGGCCGAUUCACCAUCUCCAGGGACAACAGCAAUAGCAUGAUGCACCUGCAAAUGAACUCCCUUAAAGUUGAGGACACAGCCAUGUAUUAUUGUGCAAGAGACACAGUGAGGAAAAGGAGUAUGAGACCAGACAUAAACUUCUUCAUUUACAUAGGCCACAUAUAAAAUUAUUUAGAGAGU